CCGCCCGUAGCUCAGCUGGAUAGAGCGCUGCCCUCCGGAGGCAGAGGUCAUAGGUUCGAAUCCUAUCGGGCGGG
rnacentral:tRNA from 1 species